GGGAAUUUUGGACAAUGGGCGCAAGCCUGAUCCAGCAAUGCCGCGUGCAGGAAGAAGGCCUUCGGGUUGUAAACUGCUUUUGUACGGAACGAAAAGGUCUGGGUUAAUACCCUGGGCUCAUGACGGUACCGUAAGAAUAAGCACCGGCUAACUACGUGCCAGCAGCCGCGGUAAUACGUAGGGUGCAAGCGUUAAUCGGAAUUACUGGGCGUAAAGCGUGCGCAGGCGGUUUUGUAAGACAGGCGUGAAAUCCCCGGGCUCAACCUGGGAAUGGCGCUUGUGACUGCAAAGCUGGAGUGCGGCAGAGGGGGAUGGAAUUCCGCGUGUAGCAGUGAAAUGCGUAGAUAUGCGGAGGAACACCAAUGGCGAAGGCAAUCCCCUGGGCCUGCACUGACGCUCAUGCACGAAAGCGUGGGGAGCAAACAGG
rnacentral:rRNA from 1 species